GACGAACGCUGGCGGCGUGCUUAACACAUACAAGUCGAACGAUGAAACCUAGCUUGCUAGGUCGAUUAGUGGCGAACGGGUGAGUAACACGUGACUAACCUGCCCCUUUCUCUGGGAUAACGCUCCGAAAGGAGUGCUAAUACCGGAUACUCACACCGAGGCACAUGCCUGGGAGUGGAAAGUUUUUCGGAAAGGGAUGGAGUCGCGGCCUAUCAGCUUGUUGGUGAGGUAACGGCUCACCAAGGCGACGACGGGUAGCCGGCCUGAGAGGGCGACCGGCCACACUGGGACUGAGACACGGCCCAGACUCCUACGGGAGGCAGCAGUGGGGAAUAUUGCACAAUGGGCGCAAGCCUGAUGCAGCGACGCCGCGUGAGGGAUGAAGGUCUUCGGAUUGUAAACCUCUUUCAGUAGGGACGAAGCGAAAGUGACGGUACCUAAAGAAGAAGCACCGGCUAACUACGUGCCAGCAGCCGCCGUAA
rnacentral:rRNA from 1 species